UGGGGAAUUUUGGACAAUGGGCGCAAGCCUGAUCCAGCCAUGCCGCGUGAGUGACGAAGGUCUUCGGAUUGUAAAGCUCUUUUAGCAGGGAAGAUAAUGACGGUACCUGCAGAAUAAGCCCCGGCUAACUUCGUGCCAGCAGCCGCGGUAAUACGAAGGGGGCUAGCGUUGUUCGGAAUUACUGGGCGUAAAGCGCACGUAGGCGGAUUGAUAAGUUAGAGGUGAAAUCCCGGGGCUCAACCUCGGAACUGCCUUUGAUACUGUUAGUCUCGAGUCCGAUAGAGGUGAGUGGAAUUCCUAGUGUAGAGGUGAAAUUCGUAGAUAUUAGGAAGAACACCAGUGGCGAAGGCGGCUCACUGGAUCGGUACUGACGCUGAGGUGCGAAAGCGUGGGGAGCAAACAGGAUUAGAUACCCGAGUAGUCCCUGAGCGGGCUGGCAAGGCGCAU
rnacentral:rRNA from 1 species